GGCCAGCUUGUCUUGAGUUAACGUUAGCUAGUGGGCCACUUGUCUAAGAAAGAAUACAACAGAAUGACAGAGGAUGCCGUCUUGCUGAACGUUCCUGUCAUUCGGCAGCUGUUUGACUGGGACUGUGGGUUAGCCUGCUCCAGGAUGGUCCUGAAGCACCUCCAUCCAGUCAGUGAUGAGGAGUUUCAGAGAGCAUGCUGGGAGCUCAAGUUGACAGAGAGUGUGUGGAGUAUUGACC